rnacentral:rRNA from 1 species
GAUGAACGCUGGCGGCGUGCCUAAUACAUGCAAGUCGAGCGAACGGACGAGAAUCUUGCUUCUCUGAUGUUAGCGGCGGACGUGUGAGUAACACGUGUAUAACCUACCUAUAAGACUGGGAUAACUUCGGGAAACCGGAUCUAAUACCGGAUAAUAUUUUGAACCGCAUGGUUCAAAAGUGAAAGUCGGUCUUUGUGUCACUUAUCGAGGGAUCCCCGCUGCUUUGGCUAGUUGUUAAGUUAAAGGCUUACCAAGGCAACGAUGGAUUGCCGACCUGAGGGGGUGAUCGGCCACCUUGGAACUGAGACACGGUCCAGACUACUACGGGAGGCAGCAGUAGGGAAUCGUCCGCAAUGGGCGAAAGCAUGACGGAGCAACGCCGCGUGAGUGAUGAAGGUCUUCGGAUCGUAAAACUCUGUUAUUAGGGAAGAACAUAUGUGUAAGUAACUGUGCACAUCUUGACGGUACCUAAUCAGAAAGCCACGGCUAACUACGUG